rnacentral:rRNA from 1 species
GGAUUAGAUACCCUGGUAGUCCACGCCAUAAACGAUGAAUACUCGUUGUUGGAGGUAUUGACCCCUUCAGUGACUAAGCUAACGCGGUAAGUAUUCCGCCUGGGAGGUACGGUCACAAGAUUAAAACUCAAAGAAAUUGACGGGGGCCCGCACAAGCGGUGGAGCACGUGGUUUAAUUCGAUGCAACGCGAAAAACCUUACCUAGGUUUGAAAUAGUCAAGAAAAGUACGAGAAAUCGUCUUCCAGCAAUGGCUUGAUUACAGGUGCUGCAUGGCUGUCGUCGCUCGUGUCG